CCUCUCUUAGACAUCAUUUAAGGGUUGACUGCCACUGGGGAAGGAUCUCUAGUUGGAGCUUCCGCCCUUGUUGAGUUUUCAUGCAAUCUUUGGAAAUUGUUAUGUCACAGUGGAUUAGGGAAUAACAAAGUGAAAUAUAUUCAUCUCAAAUGGUCUCACAAGAAGCCUUCACUUGGCUUUACAAAGGAAGCCUCAUGGACAAGGAAUGCAGGGAAGAGAUCCUCAAGAUUUUGAGAUGGAAGGUACAAUGACAAUUCAAGAUACUAGUGACAGGCACUUGAACUGGACAAUGACAUGGAAGAGUCUGUUAAACUGGAAAACAGUUUAGUUAAACUGGAUAAAGUCUGUUAUAAAUGGAGCUAGAAGAUAGCUGAAUGAUACCUGAGAGAAAAAGGAAGUUGAGCUACAAGAGUAACUGAGGCACUUCGUUGAAUAUUCUUACAUCCUAGCACAGUACUUACUUGAGUGAAAAAAUUCCCAAAGCUCUACUGCUCAUGCACAGCCGUGCCAUCUCUAAAUCAGUAGUUGCCCAUAGCAACCUGCUCAGGAGUACUUCUGUCAAAUGCUCUUUCUUGUUUGAUGUGCACUGAGGCCCUUCUGAGGACCUGAAAUAUGGAAUUACUUUUUUGAACGUGUGUGACACAACAGAAUGCAUUAUGACUGUGUAGUUCAAAACUUGGCACUAGUGCCUGCUCUUUUUCCAAAGUCAAGUGUAAAUUCUUAGGGUCCUAUUAAUGAAAAAUCCAUUCCAUGG